AACGCGAAGAACCUUACCUGGGUUUGACAUGGAUCGGGAGCGCUCAGAGAUGGGUGUGCCUCUUUUGGGGUCGGUUCACAGGUGGUGCAUGGCUGUCGUCAGCUCGUGUCGUGAGAUGUUGGGUUAAGUCCCGCAACGAGCGCAACCCUUGUUCACUGUUGCCAGCACGUUAUGGUGGGGACUCAGUGGAGACCGCCGGGGUCAACUCGGAGGAAGGUGGGGAUGACGUCAAGUCAUCAUGCCCCUCAUGUCCGGGGCUUCACGCAUGCUACAAUGGCUGGUACAGAGAGUGGCGAGCCUGUGAGGGUGAGCGAAUCUCGGAAAGCCGGUCUCAGUUCGGAUUGGGGUCUGCAACUCGACCUCAUGAAGCCGGAGUCGCUAGUAAUCGCAGAUCAGCAACGCUGCGGUGAAUACGUUCCCGGGCCUUGUACACACCG
rnacentral:rRNA from 1 species